UGGGAAUCGAAACUAGGAAUCGAAAUUUAAACUUUUGAACGAUUCCGGGAAAAUCGCAAAGAUAGUCCCGGUUCCAACCAAUACUCGAUAUUCGAUACCCAAGCCUAGACACAAGAGGAGAGGGGGAAA